ensembl:snoRNA
ACUGCAACUAGAAGCUUUGCAGGUGUGGCUGCUGUGUCACUAGUGUGUUAGUAGGUGGCAAAGAGGAGAGAGGCCAUGUCCACACUCAAUGUUCUGACCUAUAACAUCUGAGAGUUUAGUAGCCUAGCAUU